rnacentral:snoRNA from 1 species
AUGCACCUCUGAGAGACCCAGAGCAGUUAAUGUCUGCUGCUAAGGUUUUCACUACAGAUGCAAGAAAAAGAAGGCCCUCGUGCUUUCUGUCUGUCUGGUUGUGGCAGCCAAGAUUGAAUGGGGGAAUACAGGA